rnacentral:rRNA from 1 species
AGGGCGGGACACGUGUUAUCCUGUCUGAAUAUGGGGGGACCAUCCUCCAAGGCUAAAUACUCCUGACUGACCGAUAGUGAACCAGUACCGUGAGGGAAAGGCGAAAAGAACCCCUGUGAGGGGAGUGAAAUAGAACCUGAAACCGUGUACGUACAAGCAGUAGGAGCACCUUCGUGGUGUGACUGCGUACCUUUUGUAUAAUGGGUCAGCGACUUAUAUUCAGUGGCAAGGUUAACCAUCUAGGGGAGCCGUAGGGAAACCGAGUCUUAACUGGGCGCCAUAGUCUCUGGAUAUAGACCCGAAACCGAGUGAUCUAGCCAUGGGCAGGUUGAAGGUUGAGUAACAUCAACUGGAGGACCGAACCGACUAAUGUUGAAAAAUUAGCGGAUGACUUGUGGCUAGGGGUGAAAGGCCAAUCAAACUCGGAGAUAGCUGGUUCUCCCCGAAAGCUAUUUAGGUAGCGCCUCGGACGAAUACUACUGGGGGUAGAGCACUGUUAAGGCUAGGGGGUCAUCCCGACUUACCAACCCUUUGCAAACUCCGAAUACCAGUAAGUACUAUCCGGGAGACACACGGCGGGUGCUAACGUCCGUCGUGGAGAGGGAAACAACCCAGACCGCCAGCUAAGGUCCCAAAUUACAGCUAAGUGGGAAACGAUGUGGGAAGGCUUAGACAGCUAGGAUGUUGGCUUAGAAGCAGCCAUCAUUUAAAGAAAGCGUAAUAGCUCACUAGUCGAGUCGGCCUGCGCGGAAGAUGUAACGGGGCUAAGUUGU